rnacentral:rRNA from 1 species
AGUGAACGCUGGCGGUAGGCCUAACACAUGCAAGUCGAACGGCAGCACAGUAAGAGCUUGCUCUUACGGGUGGCGAGUGGCGGACGAGUGAGGAAUACAUCGGAAUCUACUUUUUCGUGGGGGAUAACGUAGGGAAACUUACGCUAAUACCGCAUACGACCUACGGGUGAAAGCAGGGGAUCUUCGGACCUUGCGCGAUUGAAUGAGCCGAUGUCGGAUUAGCUAGUUGGCGGGGUAAAGGCCCACCAAGGCGACGAUCCGUAGCUGGUCUGAGAGGAUGAUCAGCCACACUGGAACUGAGACACGGUCCAGACUCCGACGGGAGGCAGCAGUGGGGAAUAUUGGACAAUGGGCGCAAGCCUGAUCCAGCCAUACCGCGUGGGUGAAGAAGGCCUUCGGGUUGUAAAGCCCUUUUGUUGGGAAAGAAAAGCAGCAGGUUAAUACCCCGCUGUUCUGACGGUACCCAAAGAAUAAGCACCGGCGAACUUCGU